rnacentral:tRNA from 1 species
GUAUCCGUCGUCCAGCGGCCCAGGACGUCCGGUUCUCUCCCGGGAAACGUGGGUUCGAUUCCCACCGGAUACA